GUCGGAGUGGCGGAAUUGGUAUACGCGCACGUUUGAGGGGCGUGUGGAGAAAUCCUUGCGGGUUCAAGUCCCGCCUUCGACACCA
rnacentral:tRNA from 1 species